rnacentral:rRNA from 1 species
UACGAAGGGGGCUAGCGUUGCUCGGAAUUACUGGGCGUAAAGCGCACGUAGGCGGCUUUCUAAGUCGGGGGUGAAAUCCUGGAGCUCAACUCCGGAACUGCCUUCGAUACUGGAGAGCUUGAGUCCGGGAGAGGUGAGUGGAACUGCGAGUGUAGAGGUGAAAUUCGUAGAUAUUCGCAAGAACACCAGUGGCGAAGGCGGCUCACUGGCCCGGUACUGACGCUGAGGUGCGAAAGCGUGGGGAGCAAACAGG